GCACAUGCUAUGCAAUUAUAUCAUUUCCUUAUACUUACAUUUGCAAUCUCUUCUACAAGGCAAUAACUACAGAGCAAGCUUGAAUUACAGAACUGAGACUUUCCAAAUAACCGAGGUUUAUCAUGAAAUGUUUGGGACUUGCUGUUUUUCUCCUUGUCGCAAUAACAGGAGUAUUAAGUGACAAAAGUGGAAUUGAAGAAGAAGCUGUGUCAUGUCUAACCUUUAAAGGUACUUGUCGAUGGUUCUGCUUUAACAAUGAGGUUGCAGUAAAUGUCCCUGGAUGUUAUUUUCAAAACAGGUGUUGCUUACGCAUACGUGCUUGGUCUAUGGAGUGAAAAUAUACUGGAUGAAAAAAAAUGGCUGAAACUAUUUGCUACAGAAUACAUACCCUACAGCAACACCUACUUGCAUUUUCUGUGGAGAUAGUUAACUCUCUUGCUUCAGUAAAUCUUAUUCAUUAAAGUCAAAGACAUGUAAAACUAAUCAAGAUCUCAUUAAUGUAUGUUCCUGAUUUAAAAUACAUAACCAGUGUCCAUAUAUUGUUAAAUAGUUUGAAGUCAAACUAUCACAAGCUGUGGUACAUUCAAAUCUGCAUAUGCAGUGAUGUCUUAUGCUCUGAUUCUUGAACCACUUGAAAAUAAAAUUGCUCAUUUAGCAUUUGA